rnacentral:rRNA from 1 species
AUACGGAGGGACCAAGCGUUGUUCGGAAUUAUUGGGCGUAAAGCGCGUGUAGGCGGCCUAGCAAGUCGGUUGUGAAAUCCCCAGGCUCAACCUGGGAACUGCAAUCGAAACUGCUGAGCUCGAGUCCCGGAGAGGAAAGCAGAAUUCCCAGUGUAGGGGUGAAAUCCGUAGAUAUUGGGAGGAAUACCAGUUGCGAAGGCGGCUUUCUGGACGGUGACUGACGCUGAGACGCGAAAGCGUGGGGAGCAAACAGGAUUAGAUACCCCAGUAGUCC